UUUGGGCACACCUCGUAACAAAGAUGGCAGCUAAAGUCCUGGACAUGCCGGGACAUGCUGGAAAAGGUCAUUCACUAUGUUACCUCUUGUUAUCUAUAGAGUAUCAACCAGUGAAGAGGAGGGAUCAUUCGGGCCACUGUACGGGUAGGAGACUACCCGGCUGGGGUGGGGACUGGGCCGGUACGAGCCUCAGUGAUCUCCCGGCCUAGAGUAUCUACGUAGAUGAAAAGAAGCAAUCAAUGUGUUCUGUCAUGGAAUUUUGCCACUUGGUGACUGGUAGAUGGGAGCAAAAACCCACGACUGGUAAUCAGUCCUCUGCUGGGUGUUUGUGGCUAUGCAGCUGUUGCCAUUGGAAAUGGAAUUUUGGAGACUGGUGUGGUGGUGAUUACUGACUGUAAUCAUAACAGUUUAUACACAGGAUAAAGUUCAACUGUGACAUGAUACCAAUAAAAGUCAACGGUGAGGACUAUCUUGUAGUAAUUAGAGAAGGAGAUGGAUUAUAUUCUAGCAAUGCACCAAACAACCUGGUGCCCAGUGCAGUAGUGGUUGGAAUAAUGAAAUAAACUCUCAUCAGGUGAUUGGAUGUCACCAACUGUCACUGGAGACAGACCACCUAUUAGCUCCUUCGCUCUAACAUCAAUUAAUAAUUUCAGUGCUAUAUGAUUUGGAGAUGAUAUUGCUAACGGAAAGAGCAACAAUGUAUAAUGUUCUUAAUUUUACUGAUACAUCAGUGAAUUGUUUAAAGUUAUCUAAUCCUAGAGGAUCAGUACAAUGGCCUAAGGAAAGAAGUUGUCAUUUGAGUGUAUUGAUUAACACUAGCUCAGGACCACACCUACUUGUGUGAAGGCAUUUGUCAAUUAUCACUAAGCACUGAAAGCUUGUCAGAAUAUAAAAGAACUUUCAAUUACCUAUGGAAUGAUAUGAGUGUUCCAUAUCAAAGGAUGGCAUGGGAGGCUCUUAAAAAGAGUAUUAAUGGUCUGAUUAACAGGAGGAUUAUUGGCACGUUCACUUAUCUCAGCUCUGUCUGCCUCGCCCUCUUUUAGUCAUGUUUAUGCUGCACUGAUUGCUAUGGUCAAUGUUAAAUUCCUUGAAAUCAGAGAAACGAUUGCUAAGAGACUGAUUGUUACUUUUUAGAAAGCAUUAAAAGGAAAAAAACAAGAAGAUUUGUUUGUUGUGCAUCAAAUUUAUAGCACAUCUAGUCAACCAAUAGGUGGUCCACGAGUUGUUAGCAUUGGAAUUACUGACUGUAUUACUGGAAGAUCCUAUACGAGUGAUUCGAUCUGUUGAAGUUGCUGUUGGUUUUUUAAAAGAGUGCGGACAGAAACUAACACAACUCUCACAAAGAUAACAGGUGUCUUUGAAAGUCUGAAAGCAAUCCUCCAUGAUGCCAGUGUAGACAUAAGAGUACAGUACAUGAUUGAGGUGAUGUUUGUUAUCAGAAAGAACAAGUUUGCUGGCUAUCCAUUCAUUGUUGAAAGUCUUGAUUUGAUUAACGAAGAUGAUCAAGUCACUCGUAUAAUUUCACUGGAUGAUGAACUAGAUG